rnacentral:lncRNA from 1 species
GUUCUUGUCAACCCUCCAGGGGCAGGAGGAUGGAGUCGUGAGUGGGAGGGUGCUCACUUACUCCAGGAGGACGGACUACCUACUGGGCUUUCUUCUGUGGACCUUCGAUGGAGCCUGGGGGUCUCCUGUCUUCACGGCCACAGCCUCUCCACUCACCCUCCACCCGAACCCUGGCAGGUGGAGCUCAGCAGAGGCUGAGAACAAGCCUUGGUGGAGCAGAACAAAUGACUGGGCAGCCAACGGAGCAGCGGGGCACUUGCUGUAGAGAUGGGACCCAGGCUGGAGAACGCUGAUCUAGAAUCCCACAAACACAGACCCAAACAGGCCAGAGAAGGAACGUGAGUCUUGAGGCCCUGAGACAGAGUUCCGUCUCCUCACCCCCCAGCUCCCCACCUGGCACGUAGUGGGUUCUCAACAACUAUGUCAAGUUGAAGUGAAUCUUGAUCUAGGUUUGGGAGGCUAUAUGACUGGAAUACGGAUUUCUCCUUUUGUACGUGGGCCCCAAGUGCAUAAAGAG